rnacentral:rRNA from 1 species
AUGUCGAGCUCCACUUCAGCCUCCCGCCUCUCAUGGACCCAGUAUGGUCCACUUCCCAUGGAGCGAUGUUCUGACUACCCACGCAGUGCGCCACUGAUACGGUUGACUUCAAAGGAGGACAAGAAUGGCAACUAUGGGCGCGAGUUCGUGAAAUGCGAGAGCAAGCCAGAGGGGCAGAUCAUGAAGAAAUGCACACAUUUUGAAUGGCUGGAUGACUAUGUUAAGCAGAUUCAAUUCAAUGGGGCCCCAAGCCGGGAGCAAUCUGCCGUCAGCAACAAUGAAUUUGGUCUUUGA